rnacentral:lncRNA from 1 species
GGGUCCAAAUCGGAUAUGGGUAUAAAAUAUCCGGACCCAUACCCGAAACUUUAAUGGGUAAUUUUUUUAUCUGUAUACUAUUCAUUUUUUAUCGGGUCCUAUCUGGAUCAGGUAGGGUCUAGGUAUAGUCUGGAUCGGGUAUGGUAUAUAAUUAAAAAAAAAUCAAAACCCACAAAAAUUAAGUUAGAACAAAAAUAAAA